rnacentral:rRNA from 1 species
UGGGGAAUAUUGCACAAUGGGCGCAAGCCUGAUGCAGCCAUGCCGCGUGUAUGAAGAAGGCCUUCGGGUUGUAAAGUACUUUCAGUCGGGAGGAAGGUGGUAAGGUUAAUAACCUUAUCAAUUGACGUUACCGACAGAAGAAGCACCGGCUAACUCCGUGCCAGCAGCCGCGGUAAUACGGAGGGUGCAAGCGUUAAUCGGAAUUACUGGGCGUAAAGCGCACGCAGGCGGUUGAUUGAGUCAGAUGUGAAAUCCCCGGGCUUAACCCGGGAAUUGCAUUCGAAACUGGCAGGCUAGAGUCUUGUAGAGGGGGGUAGAAUUCCAGGUGUAGCGGUGAAAUGCGUAGAGAUCUGGAGGAAUACCGGUGGCGAAGGCGGCCCCCUGGACGAAGACUGACGCUCAGGUGCGAAAGCGUGGGGAGCAAACAGG